UGGUCAUUGCAUCGGCACCUUGGCUCUAGACUGCUUACUGUGAAACUGUGCUAUAGGAACAGUAACAGUCUACAGUCAUGGCUACUGACGUAUGAC
ensembl:miRNA xtr-mir-212 xtr-mir-212